UCAGGUAGUUGGUAGGGUAAGAGCCUACCAAGCCGACGACGGAUAGCUGGUCUGAGAGGAUGAUCAGCCACAUUGGAACUGAGACACGGUCCAGACUCCUACGGGAGGCAGCAGUGAGGAAUAUUGCGCAAUGGGCGAAAGCCUGACGCAGCAACGCCGCGUGGAUGAUGAAGUUCUUCGGAAUGUAAAGUCCUUUUGCAGAAGAAGAAA
rnacentral:rRNA from 1 species